rnacentral:rRNA from 1 species
UACAGAGGUCUCAAGCGUUGUUCGGAUUCAUUGGGCGUAAAGGGUGCGUAGGCGGCGCGGUAAGUCGGAUGUGAAAUCUCGGAGCUUAACUUCGAAACGUGAUUCGAUACUGCCGUGCUUGAGGACUGGAGAGGAGACUGGAAUUUACGGUGUAGCGGUGAAAUGCGUAGAUAUCGUAAGGAAGACCAGUGGCGAAGGCGGGUCUCUGGACAGUUCCUGACGCUGAGGCACGAAGGUCAGGGGAGCAAACGGG